UUUGCAAUGUAUUGCUUUGGAAGAUACCUUGUUGCUUGCUUAGUAAGCAAGGUACAGGAUGUUGUUGAACUUUGGUCUGCAAUGCAACAGGAAACCAACAGCAAACCAGCAUGCAGAGCAGCAUCCAAGUUGAACCAGAGAAGCAGCAGCAUUUUGUUUAUUUUGGUCAUUUGUAACUUGAUUUAGUUUCAAUGUAAUUUAUACUUAAAGUUAGUAGGAGUAGUUGUUGAUUUAUGUUUGAUGUUAUAGCUGGUAUGUCAGCUACAUUUUGUAUGUAAUUCUAGCUAGGCUUUAGUCAUGUAUUAGUGGGAGCAGUGUUACAAUGCUUCUCAAGUCAAUGAAAAAGAUCUGAUUUUUGGAGGUCAAAUUCA